rnacentral:rRNA from 1 species
UACGUAGGGUGCAAGCGUUGUCCGGAAUUAUUGGGCGUAAGGAGCUCGUAGGCGGUCUGUUGCGUCGGCUGUGAAAACCCGAGGCUCAACCUCGGGUCUGCAGUCGAUACGGGCAAACUAGAGUAUUGCAGGGGAGACUGGAAUUCCUGGUGUAGCGGUGAAAUGCGCAGAUAUCAGGAGGAACACCGGUGGCGAAGGCGGGUCUCUGGGCAAUAACUGACGCUGAGGAGCGAAAGCGUGGGGAGCGAACAGGA